AUACUAACCUGACACAGAAGAUACCGUGAUCAAGAAGGCGGUGCUUCCAGGACGAGGUCCAGCCAUUGCACUGAGGCUGGAUUGACUUCUGCGAUUACCCCAAAUGUGGGUAACUCGGGUGUACAUUUUGUGGUAGCGAGGGACUGCGUUCGCGCUUUCCCUCU
rnacentral:snRNA from 1 species